CACUCCUCCCCUGUGUGCCAGGU
rnacentral:miRNA from 1 species